rnacentral:sRNA from 1 species
UUUUUAUAGGUUUAGAUCUUUAGAGCUCUGAUACCAUGUAGAAUUAGGUAUUGCACUAACUUGAGUUUAUUGAUUCACAAAGUGUGAUAUUUAUACAAGAGAGUCAUCGUAUAAAAUAAACUCGAAUCCCUAAAUUAUAGGACAUAACUCUGUCACAAAAUAUAUCACAAGAGAUUCUACUCUAUCCCCAAUAGAUUUAGAUUUGAUUAAGAAAGUAUUAAACAAACC